rnacentral:tRNA from 1 species
GCCGCGGUGGUGAAACGGCAAACACGCAUGUUUCAGGAACAUGUGCCGAAAGGCUUGGAGGUUCAAUUCCUCUCCGCGGCA